UAUUUACGGUUCGCUUAUUGCCUAAUCCAAAACAGAUUGAAAGCCACUCUGUCUCUGUGUCCCUGUGUGUCUGCCGCUUACCUGUGAGUCCACCUGUGAUGAACGUGCCUCCAGGAUCCUGGGAACCAUAGAAGCCUGACUCUCCCUGGGCCCAGAGCCACCAGCUUCUGCUCCCAAGAGGGAACCGAGUGCUUUCAUGCCCGGAUGCUGGGCCCUUGACCAGGAAGACCGCUAACCCCGGGGAGAGCCUGGGAGCUAGCCCUUGUCUUGGUCCCCCUUGAAGAGCGCUGUGGUCCCCAGACCUGCAGUUCGCCGGAGUGACCACUAGAUGGCAGUGGCUUCCAGGGCUGCAGUCCCUGCGCGCUAAGCAGGCGCCUUCCUUCCUGAGCGUCCGCGGCGGGCAGCGCGGGGCAGCCUCACUGGCCUCAACCAGGCGGGAGGGCCCCGUGCCAUCCGCCUUCGACACGGCCAAGGCUCACGCGCAAUUCAUCUGCCCCUUCGUGACAGCCCCUCUGUGGGGGGGUUACUGUUAAUGUGGACAUUUCUGAACAGACACUGCAAGUCCCAAAAGGAUUUGAGGCCGAGAAAACACAGCGUGGGUCUCCAGGGCCAGCCCGAGCCCGGGGUCGCCACGUUAUCCUCGCCAGCAGAAAGGACUGUCUGCCCAGAAACUGCUCGCAAAACCCUGUGGUUGCUGAGCUGCUGGGGUCUGGGGAGCGGCGGUGAGGCAGGCAGUGACCUUGCACCAAGGUGGGCUCGACCUCCUCGGGGAAGGCGCCUGGAGAAGGAGGACGAGGCCGGACUCCGCCUUCGCGGACGGGCCAGCCCGCGGGCACCCGCAGAGGUAGGCACGUUUUCUGCACGUCAGGUGAUGGGAGGC
rnacentral:lncRNA from 1 species